rnacentral:rRNA from 1 species
CCGUAACUAUAACGGUCCUAAGGUAGCGAAAUUCCUUGUCGGGUAAGUUCCGACCUGCACGAAUGGCGUAAUGAUGGCCAGGCUGUCUCCACCCGAGACUCAGUGAAAUUGAACUCGCUGUGAAGAUGCAGUGUACCCGCGGCAAGACGGAAAGACCCCGUGAACCUUUACUAUAGCUUGACACUGAACAUUGAGCCUUGAUGUGUAGGAUAGGUGGGAGGCUUUGAAGUGUGGACGCCAGUCUGCAUGGAGCCGACCUUGAAAUACCACCCUUUAAUGUUUGAUGUUCUAACGUUGGCCCGUAAUCCGGGUUGCGGACAGUGUCUGGUGGGUAGUUUGACUGGGGCGGUCUCCUCCUAAAGAGUAACGGAGGAGCACGAAGGUUGGCUAAUCCUGGUCGGACAUCAGGAGGUUAGUGCAAUGGCAUAAGCCAGCUUGACUGCGAGCGUGACGGCGCGAGCAGGUGCGAAAGCAGGUCAUAGUGAUCCGGUGGUUCUGAAUGGAAGGGCCAUCGCUCAACGGAUAAAAGGUACUCCGGGGAUAACAGGCUGAUACCGCCCAAGAGUUCAUAUCGACGGCGGUGUUUGGCACCUCGAUGUCGGCUCAUCACAUCCUGGGGCUGAAGUAGGUCCCAAGGGUAUGGCUGUUCGCCAUUUAAAGUGGUACGCGAGCUGGGUUUAGAACGUCGUGAGACAGUUCGGUCCCUAUCUGCCGUGGGCGCUGGAGAAUUGAGGGGGGCUGCUCCUAGUACGAGAGGACCGGAGUGGACGCAUCACUGGUGUUCGGGUUGUCAUGCCAAUGGCACUGCCCGGUAGCUAAAUGCGGAAGAGAUAAGUGCUGAAAGCAUCUAAGCACGAAACUUGCCCCGAGAUGAGUUCUCCCUGAGACUUUAAGUCUCCUGAAGGAACGUUGAAGACGACGACGUUGAUAGGCCGGGUGUGUAAGCGCAGCGAUGCGUUGAGCUAACCGGUACUAAUGAACCGUGAGGCUUAACCUU